GUGCUUCUCUUUCGCAGCACGUGCACGAAAGUUGGAACAAUACAGAGAAGAUGAGCGUGGCCCCUGUGCAAGGAUGACAGAAAAUUAAAAAGCAAUAAAAAAAAAAGUC
ensembl:snRNA U6 U6 spliceosomal RNA